rnacentral:piRNA from 1 species
UAGGAGGAAGAUGAGCUAUUUUAGGCAAAA